ACCAAGAGAAGAGCACUUACUGAUUUCCCACAAAGCAGAGGAAAUUAUCAUGCACCAUCAAACAGAGGUGCCACUGCAGUGCUAAUGAUGGGGGGUGUAUUAAUAGAUAACAAAAGAAAUAGAUCUUUUGUUUCCCUGGAUAGACACAGAUUCAUUUUGCCGUUUUUGCACAUAUAGCCACUGUGUUUGAGACUAAAUUAUUCACACUUCGGAACCCCUCAGAAAGAUUGCCAAUGACUAUGAUUCCACCUUUAUUUUAUGGGUUUUCAGAAACAAAGCUAAGAUCCUCUGGGGACAGGAUG
rnacentral:lncRNA from 1 species